rnacentral:lncRNA from 1 species
GAGUUUCUGGAUGCUCCGGGCUCAAGAAUUCGCAUCUUUAACAAGCUCCCAGGUGAUGCUGCUGUGGAUCCUGUGAUCCUGCUUUGAGAGCCACUGCCCUAGCAGGAUCACAUAUUUUGCUCAAAAUCUGCUUCCAGGUGCUGAGUGGAAGGGGUCACUUUGAGGAGCCCAUUGUGUUCCUAGACAUUAUCUCUGUAGGAAACUUCUGCACAUGAGCAGCUCUGAUGCACUGGUGUGGUUUGCACUGCCCAGCUCUUAGCAACCUUAUGUUCAAGGUGACAGUGAAAGGCACCUCAUCUCCCUCCUGUCAUCACAGAGACCAACCCUGGUGCAUUGUGGGAGAAGACUACACAAAGAUGUGAAUAUCAGAAGGUAACUGUCUGCAAGGACCUUCUCAUAAAUUUCGCUCAGAGAGGAGGCCUUCUGUGAAGUUGCCAUUAGACAUUGUCAUUCAUCUGUGGAGACUGAGGGCCAGAUAGUUUCAGCUGUGUCUGAAUUGAAUGGCGCCAGCACUCAUCUUUCCUGACAGUGGCUGAACCAGAGGAGCAUUGACAUUUUUCAUGAUGAUAGCUGGAUAUAAAUACUUGGAUCAUCCUGGAGACUCCACUGUCCAGCCCAGUAUUUCUCUUUAGCCAGUUCCUUCUCCUGCUAUAUUUGGCUGCAGCCCAUUGUGGAAAACUCUGAUGUCGAACUCCUAUGGCUGUAUAAACACCAGAGCUUAGUUCAGGGAGUCCCUCAGAUUGCCAACAAGUAUGAACUGAAUGAUGACACUGUUCGAAAUGCCUUCCUUGCUAUUCUCCUGCAUGACCAAGUAUCCUGGCUUUUUAGAUGCAGCCAUUAAACAUUAAGUUCUGGACGCUGGGAAAUCCAAGAUCAUGACGUUGGCAGGUCUGAUGCCUGGUGAGAGCCCACUUCCUCAUUGAUGACUGUCUUCUCACUGUAAUCUCCCAUGGCAGAAGGGGCAAGCCAGCUCUCUGAGGCCUCCUUUAUAAGGGAACCAAUUCCAACUAAUCACCUCUCAAGUGCACAGAUUACUAAGCGCACUUUGGAACCAUGGAGGAAGGUGGCUGAGUGUCUCUGCCACGUGGGAAAGUGAACCACAGGGAUGGCCUUGGGCUACUGGAACCACUUUGCCCAGACACAGAGGGCUGGAGGUGCCUGGGUGGUUAGCAUUGCUGUUCCUACCCCUAACUCCAGCCGGCGGCGUCACGGAACCAGGACCAGUGACUGACAGAAUAAGGUUAUGGAUUCUUGGGAUGAAGACCACAGAAGGAAAGUGCCAUUGUUCGUUUCUUCACUGUAAAGUUGCUUUUUCUACUCUUUUCCAUACUGUGUCCUUUGGAAGGAAGUCACUGUGUACAGUCCAUACUUAUGGAGUGGGGAGGCUUUUCUGGGAAUCUGAUUUCAUGGAGCCUGCUAUUUGACACCACUUCCUCGAUGUUAAGCCCGAUUUGGAUUCCUCCACCUUGAAGACUCUCUUCACUAAGAAACUGAUGUAGGAACUGUUCUUGGAGAAAGAGGCUGGUAUGAUGAGAGAAUCAAGAGUCAGAUGAAUCCUCUUCCUAAAGGUCCUCCAACUAUGAAGUAGUGAACUGGGGGCUGAAACCCCCCUCUCUCACUCUCAGUUGGUGCUCUUCGGUUCUGAACUUAAGAGGCUGCUAUGGUUUAGAAGAAAGAACUGAGGUGGCCAUUUGUUGAUUUUAUCACUGAAAUAUGGAACUUCUUCCAGACUUACCUUCCUCAUUCCUACAAUAUUGGAUAAUAAUAUUCUCCUCACAGAGCUGUCUCAAGUAUUGAAGAAGAUUGUGGAUAUAAAGUACUUUUAGAACGCCAUGUUCGUGGGAGUUGUCAAACAUAAGCGAAUUAUACCAAGACAGUGGAAGGAGAACUGAGAGAAACGAUAACUGACAAGGUAAGCUGAUUUAAAUAUUUAUUGAUUUCAUUUCAACAAAUAAUGAUUAUUGUGAUAUUACUUGCAGUCAUUUGGUGCAUGUGUAAGAGGAGGAGGCGGGGCAGUUUUGCUUAACAGUCUGUUUUGCCCCUUUAUCUUUUAUCAGGCAAGUUCUGUCUUCCAUCAACUCCUUGUAACUCGGUUUAAGUCUCUUUCUUCUAAGAACAGAGGGAUCCCCUAGGAAGUAGACAUAUAAAUGAGAAUUGAUUUUAAGUUUCAGAUGUUUACCUUGUUUCUGAGUAAGGGAGUGCUUGCCCUUCAACUUUCAGUCUAUUCAAAAUCCCUAUAUGCAGCCAAUAUUAAGUGUUUCCUGUAUACCACUUGAUGAGCACUGGGAAUAGAGGGGUGAAUAUUAUGGAGACGUUCCUUGUGCCUGUAUAGCAUGCAUUCGAAUGUCAGAAACUAGGUAAUACAUGCAUAGAGAUGUUGCAUCGUAAUGAAAGAAAAUGUGUACUGAUAUUUAAGUGUCAUGAAGAAGACAGACUAAGGUAAUGUGAUAGAGGAUAACUGGGGGCAUGUGAGCUGUUUUAAAUUGAGUGAUCUUGGGAGUUCCCUGAUGGCCUAGUGGUUAAGGGCUUGGUGUUGUCACUGUUGGGCAACUGUUGUCACUGUUGGGGCUUGGGUUUGAUCCUUGGCCUUGGAACAUCACAUGAUGUGGGCAUGGCCAAAAAAUAAAAAUAAAGAGAGAAAGAAAGAAAAAAAGAGGUCUUGGAGGCUCUUUCUGAAGGAGAAUAUUGAUGUUGAGACACAAAUGACAAGUAAGAGGCAGUAUGAAUGGUUGAGAGGACAGAAUGUUCUAGUUGAACUGAGAAGCAAGUGCAAAAGCCCUGAGGUGGGAGCAUACCUUAUGAUCAAGGUAAGCAAGGAAUGGUUGAGUAAUUUUAGAGAAAAGCCUAAAUGCUAUUUCAUUUGACAUUUUAAAAAUUAUAUUGGGUCUAAAUUUAUGCUCUUAAAUGGUUCCAGAGUGCUUGGAAAUUGAAAGUUCAUUAAUGAAAAUUCUCAUUGGAUUAGGACUUUGGAAAUGGGUUAUUGCUUAAACAUAUUUCAAAUGAUUAUGGUGAAAAAUUACAUUUCACAAAUUGGUUAAGAAUUUUAGUAACAAUCAAGCCACUUCUGUUGAGUGAAAACCUACUAGGUGCUGUGUGUACUGUGAACAGGCUCUAUGAGAAAAUAUGAGUUAACAUAAGAUAGAACUUUUAACCUGAAGAUGAGCAGAGUUGAGAUGCUGGGAAGAUGUGUAAGCCCACAAAAAGAUGACUAAUGACACAAAUUCAUAACAAGUUCAAAUAAAUCAUGACAUACUAACAAGGAAAGCAAGGGUGCUUACACCUCACAGUGCACAGGGUGGCUUCUUGAAGGAAAUGAAAUUGGAACUGGGAGGAAGAAUUAAGUGGCCAGAGCCUGGCAGAGUUUGUGGUAAUGAGCAGAAGUGAUGGGAAGCAGUGACAUAUCAAAGACUUAGGUCUUUCUUCCUUUUCUUCAUACCAUGAAGCUGAAUAAAAGUUUCACAAUUUGAUUUUUGCUUUUGGCACGAUUGAAAUACAUACCUAAAUCAUUAAGAAACUGUGUGAUCUCUUUCUAUGUUAUUUUACAACAAGGCUUCCUGUCCUACUAGACAGCAGCUCUAUGAAGAAAACUCUAGUCCCCCCGGUGUUAGUUUUUUAUUUUGAUGAAAUACAGAAUUUUAUUUUGAUGGUGCUUCACUAUUACAAAGAGAUGAAACAAAUAGAACUUCAUUCCAUAUUGACAAAUAAGAGGAAUAUUAUAGAAUGAUUCCCAUUGCUGCUAUCUACCCCAUUUUUUCUAUGAUGAAGUAGAUGACUUGGGGUUGCUGGGCCCCAAGUAUCCCAGCUCCCUUUACAGCAUCUUAAAUAGUGCUCCUUGAAUGUCAAUCAAAGGUAUAUCCAAAGUUACUGGACAUGUCUCUGUGGGACCUUCCUGAUCCUGAAAAAGGCCUCAAAGCAAAGAAAUACAGCUAAGUGAGCUGUUCAGGCAGUGGUAUAAAUGGAUUCUUGGCAAUUCAUUGGCUUUCUCUGGUCAUUGAGUCAGAGCCACACUGUUUGUUGAGGGUCGGUUUAGUAACUUCUUCUACCUUUCAUCAUCUCCUUGGUAUUUCUCUGUAUUGGGGGCAAGCUGCUACAGACUGUCUGAGAUGUUACUUUGUGUGUGUGUGUGCAUGUGCACACGUACACAUGUCUAUUUUCUCGAGGUCUUAUUUUUUAAAACUAGCUAAUCAUUAUAACUACUUGGUUUUUUGUUUUUUGUUUUUUGUUUUUGUUUUAACAAAAUACAGAUGAUUGGGAUUCAACCCAAAUCAGUUAGAUAAAAAAUCUAUGCUGGAGCCCAGAUUCUAGUAAGUUCCCUCAGGGCUGCUAAAGUUCAGUGAGUCUUGAGCUCCUUUGACCUCUCCUGAAAGGAUGAAUGCCUUGAUUUGUAUGCAUGUAUUUCUGUCAGAUGCUUUAAAUGAAGUCAAUAACCAAAAUGCAUUUCCAGAGUUCGGGUCAUUGAGUUGAGAAUCAAAUGAAAUACAUUUCUGGGUGAUGGAACAGUAAGGAUGAGAAGAGAACUAGAGCAGUGUGGUGUGCACAUAUGUAGCUACUGUCUUUGAUGCAGCACACAUAACUGACCCAAGAAAGCUAGUGCCCAGGUCACAGCUGCAGAGACACUCUUAAGAACCAUCAGUGACUUCACAAUGCCAUUACACCGGGUGUGAGGUGGUUCCUGGCAUUCAGCUUCCUGUUCUUCCAUCAAAAGGAAGACCUUUUCUGGCCAACAGGCUAGUCAGACUCCUCUAGCUUGCUAUACCUUGGUGCUAAGAGGUUCUGAUGAGGCAGUAUAGUCCUCACUCCUUUGUGUAAUAAGGUAAGGUUAAGGAAGAAAAAAGAAUUCAUAAGUGAAAAAUCGUUUUGUUUUUGUAAAGGGCCACAUGAAUGGUACAGAUCCAUCUUUCUCCCUGGGGCAGUGGACUCAGAUAACAGAUUUAACUAUAGCUACAUCUCUAUAUCUCCAAGUGACCUUGGACAAGUUCUUUGACUUGUCUAAACCUCUUUUUCUCUGAAAUGUAGACCAUUACAAGAUUGGUGUGGGAUUACAGAUAAUUGUUCGUAAAUUCAUUUUAAUGAGUAUUUUGCUUUUUUUUUUUUUUUUUGCUUUUUAGGGCUGCAAUAGCAGCAAAUGGAAGUUCCCAGGCUAGGGGUGAAAUCAGAGCUAUAGCUGCCGGCCUACACCACAGCCACAGCAACGCCAGAUCCGAGCCACAUCUGUUACCUACACAACAGCUCAUGGCAAUACUGGAUCCUUAACCCAUAGAGUGGGGCCAAGGAUUGAACCCAUAUCCUCAAGAACCCUAGUUGGGUUCAUUAUUGCUGAGUCACAAUGGGUACUCUCUCAUUUAAUGAGUAUUGAUUGCAUAACCACUACGAAUCUGAUAUUGUUCUAGGAACUAGGGAUAAAGCAAAAAAUAGUCUCCAGCUUUCAUGGAACUUGCAAGGGUAUAGUAAACAAUAAACAGGCAAAGGCUUAGUAUGCCAGGUGGUUGAUAAAGGCCUUGGAGAAGAAGGAAGCAAGGCAGAUAAGGUAGGAAUUUCGGGGGGAAUGUGGGUUUUAUGGGGAAUGUUGAGAUUUUGUUAUCAGGAGAGCUGCAUUGAUAAUUAAGGGCUUUGAAGGAAUUAGGACCAGGUAGAUAUGUAUUAAAAGUUCAUUACAGGCAAAGAACACAGCAAGUGCAAAGGCGUGGAGGUGGUAUUGUAUGUGGAAUUCUGGAGAAAUAGAAGGAAGCCAGUAGGGCUGGCACAGAGAGAGAGAAAUAGGGAUACUGGUAGGAGAUGAAGUCAGUUAGUCCUGAGGCCAAGUUAGGGAGGUAGCCCUUUGCAUACUUAAACCUGCAUGGGAAUCCCUGGGGGCUGUUGUUGAAAUGUGGAUUCAGAUUCAGUAGGUCUGGAACGAGGCCUGGGCUUCUGGAUUUUGAACCUCUUCCAGGCAGACCACACUCUGAGUGGACUAGGUGUGGGGCUAUGUAAGCUAUUGUAAAUAAAGAUGUUAGCAUUGGCCCUGAGUGAGAUGCGGGGGGGGGGGGGGCAUGGGAAUGUUUUGAGUGCCUCUUCAAGGCAUGGUUCUGGCUGUCACGAUAAUGAGGUGUCCAACGCCCUGACUGAUUUUGCACAUUGUCUGGGUUUUAGUCCUAGUGUCACCACUCACUCACUGCCUGUCUUUGGUAAGUUGCUUAAACUUCUUUUUCUCUCAACUUUUUGUUUUGAAAAAUGCUAAACCUAGAGAAAAGGUGAAAGAAAAGUACAAUUAAUGCUUUAUAUCCUUCACCUAGAUUGAUCAACUAUUAAUAUUUUUCUCUAUUUGCUUAUCUCAUACUCUUAAGUACAUAUUAUCUCAUUAUUAUUAACCAUUUAAGAGUCAGUUUUUGACAUAAUGACCCUUCAACCCUAACUAGUUCAUUAUGUAAGAAAAAUCUCCUAUAUAAAUACAAUGAACAGUCACAUUCAGAACAUUUGAUGUUGAUACAAUCAUCUAAUAUAAAAAUCUCAAUUUAAAUACAACCAAUUUCCUUCCCAAAUAUCCUUUAUAACAAUUUCCUUUUUCUGAUGUUGAAUCCAAUCCAGGAUAUUAUAUUGGAUGUUAUAUUGCUUUAGUUUUCACGUCUCAUUAGUCUUUUAACCUAGAACUGAAUUGCUUUACCUCGGCCUUUUUAAAAAAUGUAAAAAAAAUUUUUUUGAUGUUUUGUGCCAUUGUUAUUUUUGAAAAGUCUGCACCAGAGUUCUCUGGCAGCCUAGCAGUUAAGGAUCCAGCAUUGUUACUUCUGUCACUCAGGUCACUGCUGUGGUGUGAGUUCAAACCUUGGUCCGGGAACUUCCACAUGCCUGGGCAUGCCCCUUCUCCCUCCAAAAAAACCCUGGCUGGGCCAGUUGUUUUAUAGAAUGUCACCCAAUUUAGAUUAAAGGUUUGUAAUGAUUUAAUUCAGGUAUGCAUGAUUAGCAAAAGUACCAUGUAAGUGAUGUGUGCCUUGCUCUGUGCAAGCAUCCAGAGGCAUUUGAUGUCAGUUUGCUUCAUUUUAGUGAUGUUAACUUGGGUCACUUGCAUAAAGUGUUACAGCAGAUUUCUUCACUGUAUAGGUACCCAUUUUCCUUUGUAGUUAACAAGCUACCUGUAGAGAAAUACUACAUAAGUAGCCUUUCCCUCAACAAACUCUCAUCCAGUGGUUUUCCACCCAUGAAUAAUUCUCAUCUGAAAAAAUUAUUGCUUUAGAGGUUGCAAAAUGGUUAUUUUGCUAACUGUCAUUACUUGUUUUAUUAUUUGGCUAUGUAAAAGAGCUUUUUUAUUAUUUUGAUUUGUUCUAUUUGACCUUUUGACUUUAGUUUUAUUAUUCUGCCAUCUAGAAGAGCUUUCUCUUUAGCCUGUGUGUGUGUAUAUGCACGUAUGUAUCCAUCUGUGUAUCCAUGUCUGUAUCUAUCUACCUAUUCCUUGUCUUGAUAUGAACUUACGGGUUCUUUAUUUAACAAUUCAGUUGUGCUAUAAACCAUUGCUGACAUCAUUAUUUUGAUGCCCAAAUUGUCCUUGUUUUGCCAGGAGGAGCAUCUUCAAUCUGGUUCCCAUGUUCUUUUCAGGUUUGAGUGCUUCCUCAAUUUCUUGCCCCACAAAAUAUUCUAGGUUCACUUUGUACUUGACCUUCCCCAACCCUGGACAGCCAUUUUUCCCCAAAACCCUGGUUCCCUUUGUGCAGACUUGUUUAUAAGUACCAAUUUUAAAAAAAUUAAAAUAGAACUACCAUAGAAAUUAUGAAAUUAGAUGGCAAUAUAACUUGCAGAGUUAUUUUGAGGGUUAAAUGAGAAAAUUUGUGUAAAAGACUUUACAUUAUUUAUUUCAGCCAUUUCCAAGGCAGUAUAAAUCAAUGGAAACAUGGCUGAGAAUGACAGUAGAUGGAUUUAGAAAAUGUAAAUUAUGAUAUCCUCUGGGGGAACACAAAAGGUUAACAGAUUUACAUAACAGGUCCAUAAAUAUCUACUUUGCCUCCCAAUGUAUAGAAGAUAAACAGUUUGCCAUCACACAUGGCAUUUUAGCAUAAAGAGUUACCAAUCUGAUUCUCAAGUCCUUAUGCAAAUAAUACAGAAAAAAAUCAUACUCUCAAACAAAUUCUUAGUUUUGAUGAUGUGGGAAGAGAUUUUACAUAAGACUUUAAAUCCUAAAGCAUUUCAUUUAGAACUGUUUGCAAAAAGUUCUUUAAGGAGGAGGACUUCAUGUGGGGAGAGAUUGGUCCCAUUUAGACCCAGGCAUAGAAUCAAGUGGCAUGAGAACGUAAUACUAGUCUUACUAUGAAGAGGAGUUCUCAUUGCUUCAUCCAUCAUUUUUAAUUUUUCUGACUGUGAACCAUCAUACUUAGAAGGUUGGUCUUCAUAUGUGUUAACAUUUUCUUAGAAAUACUUUUUCUUUAUUAUGCAAUUAAUAGAUGUUCCUUGUAGACACAUUAGAAAAUAUAAAAAA